rnacentral:rRNA from 1 species
AGAGAGUGCAAGCGUUAAUCGGAAUUACUGGGCGUAAAGCGCACGUAGGUGGAUAUUUAAGUCGGAUGUGAAAGCCCUGGGCUCAACCUAGGAAUUGCACUCGAUACUGAAUAUCUAGAGUAUGGUAGAGGGAAGUGGAAUUUCCGGUGUAGCGGUGAAAUGCGUAGAUAUCGGAAAGAACACCAGUGGCGAAGGCGGCUUCCUGGACCAAUACUGACACUGAGGUGCGAAAGCGUGGGGGAGCAAACAGGAUUAGAGACCCUGGUAGUCCACGCCGUCAACGAUGAGAACUAGCUGUUGGGGGGGUUUACCCUUAAGUAGCGAAGCUAACGCGUUAAGUUCUCCGCCUGGGGAGUACGGCCGCAAGGCUA